UACGGGGGGGGCAAGCGUUGUUCGGAAUUACUGGGCGUAGAGGGCGCGUAGGCGGCGCGGUAAGUCACUUGUGAAAUCUCUGAGCUUAACUCAGAACGGCCAAGUGAUACUGCAGUGCUAGAGUGUGGAAGGGGCAAUCGGAAUUCUUGGUGUAGCGGUGAAAUGCGUAGAUAUCAAGAGGAACACCUGAGGUGAAGACGGGUUGCUGGGCCAACACUGACGCUGAGGCGCGAAAGCCAGGGGAGCAAACGGG
rnacentral:rRNA from 1 species